rnacentral:rRNA from 1 species
UGAAGAGUUUGAUCAUGGCUCAGAUUGAACGCUGGCGGCAGGCCUAACACAUGCAAGUCGAACGGUAACAGGAAGCAGCUUGCUGCUUCGCUGACGAGUGGCGGACGGGUGAGUAAUGUCUGGGAAACUGCCUGAUGGAGGGGGAUAACUACUGGAAACGGUGGCUAAUACCGCAUAACGUCGCAAGACCAAAGAGGGGGACCUUCGGGCCUCUUGCCAUCAGAUGUGCCCAGAUGGGAUUAGCUAGUUGGUGAGGUAACGGCUCACCAAGGCGACGAUCCCUAGCUGGUCUGAGAGGAUGACCAGCCACACUGGAACUGAGACACGGUCCAGACUCCUACGGGAGGCAGCAGUGGGGAAUAUUGCACAAUGGGCGCAAGCCUGAUGCAGCCAUGCCGCGUGUAUGAAGAAGGCCUUCGGGUUGUAAAGUACUUUCAGCGGGGAGGAAGGUGUUGUGGUUAAUAACCACAGCAAUUGACGUUACCCGCAGAAGAAGCACCGGCUAACUCCGUGCCAGCAGCCGCGGUAAUACGGAGGGUGCAAGCGUUAAUCGGAAUUACUGGGCGUAAAGCGCACGCAGGCGGUCUGUCAAGUCGGAUGUGAAAUCCCCGGGCUCAACCUGGGAACUGCAUUCGAAACUGGCAGGCUUGAGUCUUGUAGAGGGGGGUAGAAUUCCAGGUGUAGCGGUGAAAUGCGUAGAGAUCUGGAGGAAUACCGGUGGCGAAGGCGGCCCCCUGGACAAAGACUGACGCUCAGGUGCGAAAGCGUGGGGAGCAAACAGGAUUAGAUACCCUGGUAGUCCACGCCGUAAACGAUGUCUACUUGGAGGUUGUGCCCUUGAGGCGUGGCUUCCGGAGCUAACGCGUUAAGUAGACCGCCUGGGGAGUACGGCCGCAAGGUUAAAACUCAAAUGAAUUGACGGGGGCCCGCACAAGCGGUGGAGCAUGUGGUUUAAUUCGAUGCAACGCGAAGAACCUUACCUGGUCUUGACAUCCACAGAACUUUCCAGAGAUGGAUUGGUGCCUUCGGGAACUGUGAGACAGGUGCUGCAUGGCUGUCGUCAGCUCGUGUUGUGAAAUGUUGGGUUAAGUCCCGCAACGAGCGCAACCCUUAUCCUUUGUUGCCAGCGGUUAGGCCGGGAACUCAAAGGAGACUGCCAGUGAUAAACUGGAGGAAGGUGGGGAUGACGUCAAGUCAUCAUGGCCCUUACGACCAGGGCUACACACGUGCUACAAUGGCGCAUACAAAGAGAAGCGACCUCGCGAGAGCAAGCGGACCUCAUAAAGUGCGUCGUAGUCCGGAUUGGAGUCUGCAACUCGACUCCAUGAAGUCGGAAUCGCUAGUAAUCGUGGAUCAGAAUGCCACGGUGAAUACGUUCCCGGGCCUUGUACACACCGCCCGUCACACCAUGGGAGUGGGUUGCAAAAGAAGUAGGUAGCUUAACCUUCGGGAGGGCGCUUACCACUUUGUGAUUCAUGACUGGGGUGAAGUCGUAACAAGGUAACCGUAGGGGAACCUGC